UAAAGUUUAGUUUAUAAAAACAAAUGUUUUGAAAGCAUUAAUAGGAGGCUUCCUCCAACUUUUA
rnacentral:tRNA from 1 species